ensembl:lncRNA
GAGGAAACGAAACGAGAUUGAAGAUGAAAUACAACGUCUUUAAUAAUCCACAGAGAGGCUGUUUGGACUCUUAUUCUGAUGGCACCCAUUCACUGCAGAGGAUCCAUUGGCGAGCAAGUGAUGUAAUGCUACAUUUUUCCAAAUCUGUAGCGAUAAAGAAAUAAACUCAUCUACAUCUUGGCCUGAGGAAAGGAAGUGAAUUAAAUGCAAAUGGAACCGGAGAGAAAGUGAAUUUGAAUGCUGCUGGUGUCCAACCACUGCAUGGUCCCACAGUGGCCAGCAAUACCAUCUGCUGUUUGGAUAACCUCUCACCCCAGGCCUUCCCUGGAACCCACACGGUCCUCCUGUGAGCGUCCGUGACAGGUACUCACCAGUCAGCAGUGGACACAGGACUCAGAUGCUCUCAGCCUUGCUGGAAUUCCAAGCGGACCCUCGUAACCUACAGGAUUACAAAAUAUCCCGCCCACUUUGAGAAGUUGGAGAGAGUGAGAGCAGAACAGAUGUAGAGAUUGAGGCUGCUGGGUGCCGAACAGAGAGACAGUGAUCACGCUAAGAUGGGGUUUAAUUACUUCCUCCGCCCAGACACUUCUGCAGCAGUUGGCACUGCAAGCCCACUGUGACGUCUGAUUGGAGGACUCUGAGUGAAUAAAUUCUGAUGCGUUUCCUUCAGGCGAUUGUUACCUCAUGCACAUCCGUUUAAAUGUUUUUAAAGUCAAAUUAUGAGAGGA